rnacentral:lncRNA from 1 species
CUGCGGCUGGAGGAGCAGCUACAUCCUGGGCCUUGGGUCCCCAGCUGGGGCCCUUGGGCACCGGCCACUCUGCAUCUCCACACGCUCAGCUAUGAAGAGGGCUCUGCUGGCGUUCUGAGUGGACAUCACUUGUGAUCCAGAUUUCCACUCCUAGGGACACUUCCUAUCAGAACAGUUUGCACUGCAAUGGGCACAUGGGAAUGUCCACUGCACUCCUGUCAGUAGUGACCACAGCCAGGCACCCUUCUCAGGGGACAAAAACCAACACCCCUCCAUCUCUGUCCCUCUCUUCACCAUGGCCCCAGAUAGCUCCUGUCUGGGGUCCUUUCACCCUGGAGGACAAGGACCCUGCCCACCUGCCCACCUCUUCAGCAUGGGCCCAUCUCCACAGCAGCUGCUGGACUAGAAACAAACCAGCCUCUGUCCUGCUCCUGAGCGCACUGCCCAACCCUGCCCAGCACGGCCCAGCACGGCCCAGCACUGCCCCGAACAACCCAGCACGGCCCAGCAUAGCCCAGCAUGGCCCAGCACUGUCCAACAGGAGAGAACAAGAAAAUGGACUGAGUUGGGAAAACAUUCUGGGCUAAGACGACGUCCCCAGAAAGUGUCAGUGAGUCCAGUCAGAGGGUGCUAGGUAAGUGCAGGGGGACGGACUGCCCAUGCCCACUGAGACCUGUGCACAUGGACACCCGCGGACGUCACUGUGGAAGGCUAUGGACUGCCACACAACCAUCACAUGCUGCCCCCUCCAUCAGAGGAGCCUGGUCUCGCCACAGCACAAAGUGCCCUUUCUCAAGGGGCCAGGUGGGCACCUGAGCAUGGUGCAGAGCACACCAAGCUCCCGAGCUGGACUUCAGCACAACCUACAGCUCCUCACUUUGAAAGAUACCGACAGGAGAAUC